UACGGAGGGUGCAAGCGUUACCCGGAUUCACUGGGUUUAAAGGGUGCGUAGGUGGGUUUGUAAGUCAGUGGUGAAAUCUCCAAGCUUAACUUGGAAACUGCCGUUGAUACUAUAAAUCUUGAAUGUUGUGGAGGUGAGCGGAAUAUGUCAUGUAGCGGUGAAAUGCUUAGAUAUGACAUAGAACACCAAUUGCGAAGGCAGCUCACUACACAAAGAUUGACACUGAGGCACGAAAGCGUGGGGAUCAAACAGG
rnacentral:rRNA from 1 species